CUUUCUCUUGGGCCCUUCAAAAUAAAGGCAUGAGCGGCCCACAACGUGAUGGAGAGAAACGGUUAUGACCCUGACUGACGUUCACAGGAAGGAGCCACCCCAGUGCUUUCGUGCUCAGUCAGCAUGCCCUUCCUGUCUCCUCAGCCCACACCCACUCGCCACAGCUGAGUUGGGUUUUUGACGCAGGUUUCUUCCCUGUAAAACGGAACGGUUCCUCUCCACUGUCGCCAAAGGCUUUCCUCAGGCUGACAGUUCGCUGCAGAACAAAUGGCUCCAUGCAUUUGGCAAGACCCCCAG